rnacentral:rRNA from 1 species
AGCGAACGCUGGCGGCAGGCCUAACACAUGCAAGUCGAACGAAGUCUUCGGACUUAGUGGCGGACGGGUGAGUAACACGUGGGAACGUGCCUUUAGGUUCGGAAUAACUCAGGGAAACUUGUGCUAAUACCGUAUGUGCCCUUCGGGGGAACGAUUUAUCGCCUUUAGAGCGGCCCGCGUCUGAUUAGCUAGUUGGUGAGGUAAAGGCUCACCAAGGCGACGAUCAGUAGCUGGUCUGAGAGGAUGAUCAGCCACAUUGGGACUGAGACACGGCCCAAACUCCUACGGGAGGCAGCAGUGGGGAAUCUUGCGCAAUGGGCGAAAGCCUGACGCAGCCAUGCCGCGUGAAUGAUGAAGGUCUUAGGAUUGUAAAAUUCUUUCACCGGGGACGAUAAUGACGGUACCCGGAGAAGAAGCCCCGGCUAACUUCGUGCCAGCAGCCGCAGUAACAC